rnacentral:rRNA from 2 species
GGGAGCUUGCUCCCUGAGAUUAGCGGCGGACGGGUGAGUAACACGUGGGCAACCUGCCUAUAAGACUGGGAUAACUUCGGGAAACCGGAGCUAAUACCGGAUACGUUCUUUUCUCGCAUGAGAGAAGAUGGAAAGACGGUUUACGCUGUCACUUAUAGAUGGGCCCGCGGCGCAUUAGCUAGUUGGUGAGGUAAUGGCUCACCAAGGCGACGAUGCGUAGCCGACCUGAGAGGGUGAUCGGCCACACUGGGACUGAGACACGGCCCAGACUCCUACGGGAGGCAGCAGUAGGGAAUCUUCCGCAAUGGACGAAAGUCUGACGGAGCAACGCCGCGUGAACGAAGAAGGCCUUCGGGUCGUAAAGUUCUGUUGUUAGGGAAGAACAAGUACCAGAGUAACUGCUGGUACCUUGACGGUACCUAACCAGAAAGCCACGGCUAACUACGUGCCAGCAGCCGCGGUAAUACGUAGGUGGCAAGCGUUGUCCGGAAUUAUUGGGCGUAAAGCGCGCGCAGGUGGUUCCUUAAGUCUGAUGUGAAAGCCCACGGCUCAACCGUGGAGGGUCAUUGGAAACUGGGGAACUUGAGUGCAGAAGAGGAAAGUGGAAUUCCAAGUGUAGCGGUGAAAUGCGUAGAGAUUUGGAGGAACACCAGUGGCGAAGGCGACUUUCUGGUCUGUAACUGACACUGAGGCGCGAAAGCGUGGGGAGCAAACAGGAUU